UGCGAAGGGGGCUAGCGUUGUUCGGAAUUACUGGGCGUAAAGCGCGCGUAGGCGGUGAUCUUUGUCAGAGGUGAAAGCCCGGGGCUCAACUCCGGAAUUGCCUUUGAAACGGGAUCGCUUGAGUCCGAGAGAGGAUGGCGGAAUUCCUAGUGUAGAGGUGAAAUUCGUAGAUAUUAGGAAGAACACCGGUGGCGAAGGCGGCCAUCUGGCUCGGUACUGACGCUCAGGCGCGAAAGCGUGGGGAGCAAACAGG
rnacentral:rRNA from 1 species